GCCACCAGAGGGCGAUCAGGAGGCCACAGGAAGGAGUACACGGGUUUCCAGAAACUGGGACAUUGGGAGUUUCCCAUGUGUACUCUCACUCUGGGCUUCACAUUGCACCUACAACCUGCCCCCAGUCCACUUGGAGCCCCAGUGAUUCUGCUCCUUUCUUCAGGAGAGGUGCCCGGCAGGAAGACGGGGAGUGUGGGCCUGGGGGUGCCAGCGUCAGGGAGGCUGCUGAGCUGAGCAGCAGCGGGGGCUUUCAGGGAACAGGGGAGGCUGGACUCGGGGCUGUGGCCGACACUGUGAGCCCUUCCUAUUUUGAUGUCUGUGCUCCCAGUUCCGAGUUAAGGCUAAAGUCAACCUCUUUUCUCAUCUACCUGCACCAGCCCAGGCUACUCUCCAGUCUGCUCUCCCAGGAUCCAGGGGCUGUGUCAAUGUGUAAGAGACCACAAAUGGAACAGUGGCUUCAAGAUGAUUCAGUGUCAGUCUCCAAGAUCUGCAUAUCUGGCCUGGACAAAUGUGAGAAUUCAAGGGAGACAUAAUAGGGAUCGUAUCCAUCAUGCCUUUCAAGUGUUUGAAGGCUGGCCAACCUCUGCAGUCCCUCCAGGCAUGAAUUGCUUUUGGUUUAUAAUUUUGGUGAGGAGGUGGAGCUUUAGGGGAUUCCUACGACCCCUUCUUCCUUAGUAGCCCUUACUCAAGGUGAGGAAGCCUGUUUACAGAUUCUUCCAGUCACUGGGGCUCUCUGUUCUGACUGGGCACUCAAGAACUGGUGGAAUACUGCGGAUUGGUUCUGGUACCACUGGCUUGAUUCCUGGGAGCAGAUAGAGUCAAGCAAAAAGAGUGGCAUGCUAUAGACACUUGUUGGGGAAAGGAACAGAAUAAAACCCUGAUUGAAUCAACACUUUCCAAGUUUAUGAAUUCUCUGGACCAGUGAAUGUUCAAUCAAGCGUAAACUAAUUUUUAACCACUUCGGUACCAGUAUCGACUAUAGCUGACAGUCACAGAUGAACCCGCACAGCUGAGCAUCUACUAUAGUCGAUAGCCACAGAUGAAUGCGCACAGCGACUUUAGCCGA